GAACGGGUGAGUAACACGUGGGCAAUCUGCCCUGCACUCUGGGACAAGCCCUGGAAACGGGGUCUAAUACCGGAUAACACUGUCCCCCUCCUGGGGGACGGUUGAAAGCUCCGGCGGUGCAGGAUGAGCCCGCGGCCUAUCAGCUUGUUGGUGGGGUAAUGGCCUACCAAGGCGACGACGGGUAGCCGGCCUGAGAGGGCGACCGGCCACACUGGGACUGAGACACGGCCCAGACUCCUACGGGAGGCAGCAGUGGGGAAUAUUGCACAAUGGGCGAAAGCCUGAUGCAGCGACGCCGCGUGAGGGAUGACGGCCUUCGGGUUGUAAACCUCUUUCAGCAGGGAAGAAGCGAAAGUGACGGUACCUGCAGAAGAAGCGCCGGCUAACUACGUGCCAGCAGCCGCGGUAAUACGUAGGGCGCAAGCGUUGUCCGGAAUUAUUGGGCGUAAAGAGCUCGUAGGCGGUCUGUCACGUCGGGUGUGAAAGCCCGGGGCUUAACCCCGGGUCUGCAUUCGAUACGGGCAGACUAGAGUGUGGUAGGGGAGAUCGGAAUUCCUGGUGUAGCGGUGAAAUGCGCAGAUAUCAGGAGGAACACCGGUGGCGAAGGCGGAUCUCUGGGCCAUUACUGACGCUGAGGAGCG
rnacentral:rRNA from 1 species